GACGAACGCUGGCGGCGUGCCUAAUACAUGCAAGUAGAACGCUGAAGGAGGAGCUUGCUCUUCUGGAUGAGUUGCGAACGGGUGAGUAACGCGUAGGUAACCUGCCUGGUAGCGGGGGAUAACUAUUGGAAACGAUAGCUAAUACCGCAUAACAGUAGAUGUUGCAUGACAUUUACUUAAAAGGUGCAAUUGCAUCACUACCAGAUGGACCUGCGUUGUAUUAGCUAGUUGGUGGUGUAACGGCUCACCAAGGCGACGAUACAUAGCCGACCUGAGAGGGGGAUCGGCCACACUGGGACUGAGACACGGCCCAGACUCCUACGGGAGGCAGCAGUAGGGAAUCUUCGGCAAUGGACGGAAGUCUGACCGAGCAACGCCGCGUGAGUGAAGAAGGUUUUCGGAUCGUAAAGCUCUGUUGUAAGAGAAGAACGAGUGUGAGAGUGGAAAGUUCACACUGUGACGGUAUCUUAACAGAAAGGGACGGCUAACUACGUG
rnacentral:rRNA from 1 species